ACUUCUUGUUGGACAUCUAAGCAAGCCCUUAUAUCUCUCCCAUGCUUCAUAUAAGGACUCUCCAACCUCUUGUUUAAAAUUAGGAAUCUUUUUCUUGAGCUU